CACUUAAAGGCGUGCAUCAAUUACAGGGCACAGGCACAAUCCUUGUGAUAUUUAGUUUUGCCAGUAAUUAUAUAUUUUUAUAAUUCAACGAAACAUCAAGAGAAAAGCUAAUGCUGGAAGUGACUAUCACAUUCACGGUUUUGUAAGGCUACAUUGGUUAACCUAGAUGAAUAGAUUGAACCAUCGGUAACCACCCAAGAUCAGCUACAGAACUAAAAUUAUCCGAUGUUUGGUUGACAUUCUUGAAAUGAGUAAAAUAGACUACGGAAAAAAUGAAAAAGUAAGAGAGAAGGGAGAG
rnacentral:lncRNA from 1 species